UGGGGUGUAGCUCAGUGGUACAAUGCUUGCCUAGAAUGCACAAGGCUUUGAGUUCAAACUCAGCACCUCAA
rnacentral:tRNA from 1 species